GCACGAAAGUCCAAAAAUGAACGACUUCUCAGUUUCAGAUCAGGGAGGCCCUUCUUCUCAAUCCAGCCUCUUCAGUUAUUUCCAUCGUUGCUCACGUAUGCAUCAACGUGUGCUGCAGUCCCAUUCAGACUCCAUUCAGGUUCUGAAUACUGCGAACUUCUAAUUGGUGCAUACUCACAGACAACAGUCAGAGUCUUCCCUCCCUUCCUCCUUUUGUGUGCCAGAACAAAAACUACAAUUUGGCACUCAAUCUGGGACUUGUGAGUGUCCCCCCCACCAUUCUGUUGCCUCACACCCUGUGCCACUCCAGAGUAGAAUAGAGUGCAUCCCCGAUCCAGAAGUACGGUUUCAGACUCCACUGCCCUGUGCGUAAAGCUAUGCCCCACCAAAACAAACUGAGCGCUCCACCUCCCGCAGGAGCUCCGUCUCCUUUCCCCCCAGAGAGGUGAUGUUCCAUGACCCCAGAGCCAGACUGUCAGUGCUACACAUAUUGUAGCGCAGGGAGCCAGCCAGGCUCCACGGGAAGCCCGGCCCGGUCAAGUCCUCCAUCGGGUCCUCAGGCUUCCUUUGUGUUGCGUAACCCGUUCCCUCUUCCCCUUUUUCAUAUAGUCUUUUUGAACUAUUCUUAGUUUGGCCCUUCGCCUGAGACCACUGCCGAGGACCCUACCAAUAGCACCAGGUUCCUGACAACACAGGUUCAUCAUUUGGACGGUUUAAUAUAAAAGUGUUCUUCCAAUGAACUUUUUGGUACCUUCGCGUAGCAUAGAAAGAGGACAGUAAACUUACAUUAAAGGUGCAUUAGUAAGAAGUGUCUUCUUGUCCAGUGUGAACAGGAGGAAUGGUUACAGCAAUGCAGGGUUCAAAUUACCACCUCACUAUUUUAUUUAUUUUAGAGUUUUAAGCACACUUGUAAUGUUGCGGACCUCCAAGCUUAAUUAGCUGUGAAUGACAUAACGAUUUAUAAUCCUGAAAAAAUGAGAAAAAUAUGUUUUAAAUUAGAAUAUACAUACAUUUAAUACAUAAAUGGAAAGUUAAUUUAAUAGAUAUUGAAACACGCUUUUGCUCAAAUUAUAUAGAUUCAUUUUUUUAAAUUCUACCAUGUUACUUGGUCUAAUAAUAAUGCUGGCUGCUGUUACAAAUGCUAGCUUAUUAUCCUUUUACGAUCCCAAAGCUCCUUUGCUGACUUGAUAUCUCUUCUACAAGUGACAGUAAUCCUUUAAUUGGCAUUUCUUAAGCCCCACAAAUGUUUUGCUCUGUACUCUGAGAAGCUGUUGAGCAAGCUUUGAAUCCAAGUACCAAGUAACUACCAGUAAUCCUCUUAAGUUUGGUCGUCUUUAAGGACUAAAGCGGGAGUAUGUAUGAGUGCCAGCGGCCCUUUAGGAAACCUCUCUGGUCCACCUGCAUGAUUUUGUCUAAUUUGGUUUCUUUAUUUGUAUUAUACUCCGCUAUGUGCCACCCCAAAGUCCUUUUUAUUGUGAUUUAUUUUGACGUACACAACGCUUUCAUCGUGAAGGUAAAAUUAGCCCAAGUCAGAUGUAUCAUUGUGAAUAUGUAUUUUGUUGCAUACUCUGUCAUACCAUUUGAAGGAAAAAAAACAAGCACAUGAGCAAUUAUGAACUAAUUCAAAUGACUUUUAAAGUUUUAAGUCUUAGUAUGAAGACAGAGAUUGUGAAGGAUUUUCUCACACUAAGCCUCUUUUCCUGUGCAGGCACAGUUAAGGAGUUAAUUUACAAAAGUUAUGUGUGAUACAAAGUAUAACAAUACUGUUGAAAGAAGGACUUGAAUGUUACAAAGCCAGCAUACCGUGAUGAAUGAGGAUUUUGAACUUUUUUGCUUGUGAGUCUGCGUCUAUGACUAGAAAAGUACAGCAUUGAUACCAUAAAGGUAAAACCUAUUUAAUGAUGAGCUUUAAUGAGUGAUUACAUAAUUAUAUAUGACUAAAUAUAUUUUACAUAAAUAUAAAAUGUGUGACGUAUACUUUGGCAGUGCUGAUGAAGUGUCUUCAUUUAACGGAGCAAACACACAAAUACAGAAAGCUCUUUAUUUUUGGUGAAAUACUGCUAAUUUAAAAGCUAUAGGUAGAGUUGUAAAUAUAAUAUAUAAAACUCCCCCAAAAAUGAAGAAACAUUCAAUAGGAAGAAAAAAGGGAAGAAACCUUAGGGAGAACGGCAAAGGAGGGAUUCCUCUCCAGCGAUGGACAGAAUGCUACGCAUCAUACAUAUAUAUAUAUAUAUAUAUAUAUAUAUAUAUAUAUACAAAUAUAUACAUAUACAUACAUAUAUAAAUAUAUACAUAUACAUACAUACAUAUAUAUAUAUAUAUAUAUAUAUACACACGCACACACACACACACACAGCAUGUGCACCUUAAAGUAGAAUGCAAUCGGAUACAGAAAUCACUGGUAACCAAGUUGAUUCUGGUCAUAGUGGAAGAGUAACUUAGUUUGAUGAUAAAGAGGGAGCUUUAUCAAGUAAAUGUGAUAUGAUGAUAUCACAUUUGAUAUGAUAUGAUAAUGUAAUGUGUGUAGUAAGAGAUGUUCAUCAUCUCGAGUGACGCAAACUAUAAUUAAAAUAAGUGUUGAGUGUAAAUACUUUUUCUCAAAGUAUUGCGUUCCUAUUUUGGUAAUUUCCCACUUUAUUUGCAUUGUUGCUUUGUCUUUCUUGUGUAAAAAAAAUAAAAACUAUUUCAAAUGUUAAAUUAAAUGUUUCUGUUGUUGUUUCUGGAUGCACAUUUUUGAAAUAUGUAUGUAAUUCCCAAGGAGGCUCAAAUAGUUUCCUUAUGUUACCUUCAUUAACAUGAACUAGUGCACUGCAUGUGUCACCGUGUGGGUUUAUUUCCUGUUUGAUUUUGUUGUUUUGUUUUGUUUGUUGUUGUUGGCGGAUAAAUUUCAGGAUAAGAUGACAUAAAUCAGGCUUUUCGGUUCUAAAAAGCAAAUUUGGCAAAAUCACGAAAGAAACACAUCUACAGUAUGCAGGCCAAAUCCCAAACUCAAGAGCAGGCAAGGUCAUAAACCACAGAAGCAAACACUGGAAGGAAAUACUGCAGAGCGAUGAGUUUCCGAGGCAACAAAGACAAUCUGAGGCAACGAGUUUAAUUUGUUAUUUAUUCUCUUACGCGAUCAUUCAUAAAUUCGCUGACUUAUUAGGGUCCACACUACGACUUGUCGUAGAGGAACCUAUUGUAUUUCAUAGAAUUCUUCUUAUUAUUAUUUUCUCUAAGGAAUUUUGCCAUUUUGGGGGCUUCAUCAUAUUUAAAAAGUUGUUAAACUUGGCAUGCAUAUCAGAACUGGUGAAAAUUUUGAUAAUUUUGGGGUCUCGCAUUUGGGUACAAAGAAAUAGCGCCCCCUAGAAAUUUGAAAAGUACCCCACUAGGCCAGUUUAUUCCCCGAUGCAUUUGGCAUACAUGUGCUCUUGGACAUGCUCUACAAAAAAGAAAAUCACGUCUUUGGCCAUUUCUUCGAAACGCUAUGUCUGAUUGUCACGAAAUUUUCUGUGGAUCAUUAUUGGGUCAAUUUCCCCCUGACUUACCUAGAUCGUGUUGAUAUCUCAUUAUUUUGAGAAGACAUGGGCCAAAUGAUUCGGGCUGCCCUCACCAAACUUGUAAUACAUGUGAACAUUAAACCCUAUUUUUUUUUUGAAUAUUUGAAGAAUAGGGGGCGCUGCAAUUAAUUGUUGAAAAUCUGCCUUUUUGGCCUAUUUUGGGCCUGUUUUCAGGAUUUCUUAGAGUUGUAAAAGACCAAACUCCUCCCAGGGAUUAAACCUGAUUAUUUUCAAAUUCAUGCAGUGUGAUCUCGAGGACCUAGGCUCUAAAAAUUGCAUUUUGCUGGAAGAAAUUCCAAACUAUGUGUGUAGGGAACAUUUUCAAAAAAACACCAUUCAGCAUGAAAAUUGAAGUUGUUUUAACUCGACCAUACUUGAUCUAAUCUGCUCCAUAUUUCUCAUAUAGCAUGAACUUCUCACCCUGUAGACAUCCAUGAGAUCAUUUUUAACCUUAGUCAUAGCGCCACCUGGUGACAAGGAAGGAAGAUGAAUGUCUUUUUCUUUUACACCCUGCUCCUCACAGGUUAUGCUCCACAAAGGUUAAUCUGAUCCCUCUGAAAAUUUCGUAACAGAGUGGUAAGACCUUGAUAAUGUCAGGGACCAACCAGGCUCCACCACCACACAAUCACAGAGAUCGCUGUCACCAGAGUUCUAAUCACCCGCACCUGCACGUCAUUAAUUCAUCAGCACUGUCAGCACAAAAGCACGAUCCUCACACAGUCACUUUGUCGGCUGACAUAACGUCAUGCAAUGGGAAAAGGGCCGGUCGCUUCGUGACACGGGGCUGGUUGAUUGCACAGCUGCACUGUCACUGAGGUUGGCAUGGCGGGUAGUUCGGGUGGAAGCGAGGUGGAUAUGCGGGAGGGCAGUGAGAGGUCGGACAAUGAGGAGGGAGAAAUGCAUGCAGGUAAUAAGGUAAAGUGGAAGGUGAAGAAUGAGAAGAAACGUAGUAGGAAAGCCGGGGAGUCAAUGUCGUCUGGGGAUGACCAGACGGGUGCGGAGAGAAUGAGAAGGGAUAAGAGGCGAGCGCAGGUGGAGGAAUGGAAAGUUAUGGUGUAUUCGAUGAGCCUACGAGGAAAGUGUUGAAUCCGAUAGCAUUAUCUAAAGCUAUUGAAGCAGAGGUGGGACAUGUUAGAGAUGCGAGGUGUGUUGGGCAUGGGAGAGUGUUGAUUUUUGCUGUUAAUUGGGCCCAGCAAGGCAAGUUAAUGGCGUUGACGUCGCUGAAUGGAGCGAAGGUGAAGUGUCAUGUACCGGGUGGAAGGGCUAAGAGCAGGGGGGUGAUUACGGGGGUACCGCUGGAUAUAACAAUGGAGGAAUUCAAGAAAGAAGUAAAGGGAGGACGGGUAGUGGAGGCAAAACGAAUGACAAAUAAAAACAAAGGGAACGGAGAGGAGAGCCCAACUGUGAUGGUGGAGUUUGAUGGGCAUAUACCCAGUAGAGUGUGUCUGGGGUAUGUGAGCUACUUUGUGAUGGAGUAUGUGCCGGCGCCGCUAAGGUGCUCCAAGUGUCAACGCAUGGGGCAUGUGGCCAGUGUGUGUAAGGGGCAGUGUCGGUGUGCUAAAUGUGGGGGCCCACAUGAGUAUGGGAAAUGUGAAGCACAGGCUAAAAUAAGGUGUUGUAACUGCGGCGGGGAACAUAGUGCGGCAUAUGGGGGGUGUAUUGUGCAGAGAAAGGAGGCAGAGGUACAGAGAUACAAGAUAGUAAAUAAGGUAACAUAUGCAGAGGCAGCAAGGAAAAGCCAAGGCAGCAGGAGGGAACAAGAAAUAAGGGCCCAGGAACAGCCAGGGGUGAUCACAGGAAGAGGGGAGGGGCAGGUGGUGGAGGGGGGAGAUAAGAAGUAUAGUCAUGGGGGAUGCUCAGUUACAGAAGAGACACUGGUGAUGAAACGGGUGGAUUUUUUGGCAUUUCUGUGUCAUAUUCUUAAUAUGAGUGAACAGGUUAGGAAAAAGUCGGCACGGAUUGAGAUGUUUGUAGGUUUGAGGCUGGUGUAUGUGGUGUAUGUAUGCAGAGCAGAGGGCAUGGCAAGAGGUGGUGUUAUGAGAAGGCUGAUUGGAUCAAGUUCAAGUACUUGUGUGAGAGGGAAGGACGGAAGUUGACAAUGGAGGGAUCAGUGAAUGAAUGUGCUCAGGAACUGACAAGUAUGCUAGUGGCAGCAGCAGAGGUGGCUAUUCCAGUCAGUAAGGGAGGUGGUAGGAGGAGGGUGGUACCGUGGUGGACUGAUGAAUGCUCCAAAAGAGUAUGUGAGAGGAAUAAGGCGUUUAGGGCACUGAGGAGAAGCAUGACAGAUACGAAGGUGUUGGAGUAUCAACGUAAAAGGGCAGAAAAAAGGAGAACAAUAAAGAGAGCUAAAAGG
ensembl:lncRNA